rnacentral:hammerhead_ribozyme from 1 species
AUCCAACUGAUGAGUCCAAAAUAGAACGAAACACAUAUCUUCGAU